AACGAACGUUGGCGGCAUGCCUAACACAUGCAAGUCGAACGAGACCUUCGGGUCUUGUGGCGCACGGGUGCGUAACGCGUGGGAAUCUGCCCUUAGGUUCGGAAUAACUCCUCGAAAGGGGUGCUAAUACCGGAUAAUGUCUUCGGGCCAAAGAUUUAUCGCCUUUGGAUGGGCCCGCGUUGGUUUAGCUAGUUGGUAGGGUAAAAGCCUACCAAGGCGACGAUCCAUAGCUGGUCUGAGAGGAUGAUCAGCCACACUGGGACUGAGACACGGCCCAGACUCCUACGGGAGGCAGCAGUGGGGAAUAUUGGACAAUGGGCGAAAGCCUGAUCCAGCAAUGCCGCGUGAGUGAUGAAGGCCUUAGGGUUGUAAAGCUCUUUUACCCGGGAUGAUAAUGACAGUACCGGGAGAAUAAGCUCCGGCUAACUCCGUG
rnacentral:rRNA from 1 species